rnacentral:piRNA from 1 species
GAAAGCGUACUUUCCUCCCCGAUCGAGUC